UACGGGGGGGGCAAGCGUUGUUCGGAAUUACUGGGCGUAAAGGGCUCGUAGGCGGCCAACUAAGUCGGACGUGAAAUCCCUCGGCUUAACCGGGGAACUGCGUCCGAUACUGGAUGGCUUGAGUUUGGGAGAGGGAUGCGGAAUUCCAGGUGUAGCGGUGAAAUGCGUAGAUAUCUGGAGGAACACCGGUGGCGAAGGCGGCAUCCUGGACCAACACUGACGCUGAUGAGCGAAAGCCAGGGGAGCAAACGGG
rnacentral:rRNA from 1 species